GAUGAACGCUGGCGGCGUGCCUAAUACAUGCAAGUCGAGCGAACAGACGAGGAGCUUGCUCCUUUGACGUUAGCGGCGGACGGGUGAGUAACACGUGGGUAACCUACCUAUAAGACUGGGAUAACUUCGGGAAACCGGAGCUAAUACCGGAUAAUAUUUCGAACCGCAUGGUUCGAUAGUGAAAGAUGGCUUUGCUAUCACUUAUAGAUGGACCUGCGCCGUAUUAGCUAGUUGGUAAGGUAACGGCUUACCAAGGCAACGAUACGUAGCCGACCUGAGAGGGUGAUCGGCCACACUGGAACUGAGACACGGUCCAGACUCCUACGGGAGGCAGCAGUAGGGAAGCUUCCGCAAUGGGCGAAAGCCUGACGGAGCAACGCCGCGUGAGUGAUGAAGGUCUUCGGAUCGUAAAACUCUGUUAUUAGGGAAGAACAAACGUGUAAGUAACUGUGCACGUCUUGACGGUACCUAAUCAGAAAGCCACGGCUAACUACGUG
rnacentral:rRNA from 1 species